UACGUAGGGUGCAAGCGUUGUCCGGAAUUAUUGGGCGUAAAGAGCUCGUAGGCGGUCUGUCGCGUCGGCUGUGAAAACCUGAGGCUCAACCUCGGGCCUGCAGUCGAUACGGGCAGACUAGAGUUCGGUAGGGGAGACUGGAAUUCCUGGUGUAGCGGUGAAAUGCGCAGAUAUCAGGAGGAACACCGAUGGCGAAGGCAGGUCUCUGGGCAUUAACUGACGCUGAGGAGCGAAAGCAUGGGGAGCGAACAGG
rnacentral:rRNA from 1 species